rnacentral:pre_miRNA from 1 species
ACACUCAUUAGCGAGGGAUCUUGUUAAAAUGCAGAUUCUGACUGACGGAAUCUAGGGUGGGAUCUGAGAUUCUGCAUUUCCACCAAGCUCCCAGGUAAUGCUGAU